AAUUGUCUUAAAGUUGAUUACAUUUUCGCUAGUGUGCCCCUAAUAUAAUGUCGACUUGCUAUUUAGUGACAAUAUUAUGCUUUAUGUGGAGGAAAUGCUGACAGAGUGCGCGCGCAGGUAUGGGGGUGGGGUUGACGAAGCAGCGACCGCGGAGGACGUGAACAGGUUGUGGGACUCUGAGAGGAAAAGCGGGGAGAUGGGGAGGCUUAGGCCCGGUCUGAAUUAUUCCCUUCUCCCUACCCCUCAAUGUUAAGUGACAGUUUAAGUACAACCGGGAUUAUUAUUUUUUACAUUUCAGGAGGAGUCCAAAGUCCACCGUCUCGAGGCUAAACGGGGUCGCGCUGAGGAGCUCUUUUCUUCACGUGGCUGCGCUCUGAAGUGCAGACGUUUACAUUUAAAUACAACAACUAAUGUUCAUCACAAAAAGGGAAGCGGUUCUCACAGCAUUUUGUUGCUACCUGGGGGAAGAUGAUGGGUGUCUAAUUCAUGAGUACAAGGACAUCCAGUGUGAUGACAUCCAGAGAGACAUGGAGAAGCACAGCAUGGGUGUUUGUCAUCAAAAAGGAAGGCGCUGAAAGAGAAGAUCCUGCAGAUGUCGGCGUUUUCUUGAAGGUGUGAUUCUACUGGAAAACCUGAGAUCUCCAGCCAGAGCGUGAGCAGCAAUGCUUGGAGGAAUCUAUGCAAUGAACUUGGCUUACCCAGAAGAACGGAGAUACCAGUAUGAAUCCAUUCAGAAGGUGGUCAUGCAAAUGAAUAGGGAAAAGCUUUCCCCAAAAGUCCAUGGGUUCAAGAACAAAACUUCGCACAGGAACUCUGGAACACUGAAACCAAACUUCUGGAUAUGUCUGAGAUGUUGGAUGUGAUUUGAAGACUGUUGGACAAAUGACCAAAAAGCCUUCGAGGCUGCAAUACCCAAAAGUUGUUUCAU